UGAAAGAAUGUCAGGAAGGGCCACGCGGCA
rnacentral:piRNA from 2 species